rnacentral:rRNA from 1 species
UACGGAGGGAGCUAGCGUUGUUCGGAAUUACUGGGCGUAAAGCGCGCGUAGGCGGCUUUGUAAGUUAGAGGUGAAAGCCCGGGGCUCAACUCCAGAACUGCCUUUGAUACUGAAGAUCUUGAGUUCGGGAGAGGUGAGUGGAACUGCGAGUGUAGAGGUGAAAUUCGUAGAUAUUCGCAAGAACACCAGUGGCGAAGGCGGCUCACUGGCCCGAUACUGACGCUGAGGCACGGAAGCGUGGGGAGCAAACAGG